rnacentral:rRNA from 1 species
CCUACGGGAGGCUGCAGUGAGGAAUAUUGGUCAAUGGCCGCAAGGCUGAACCAGCCAAGUCGCGUGAAGGAUGACUGCCCUAUGGGUUGUAAACUUCUUUUAUAGGGGAAUAAAGUUAUCCACGUGUGCCUUUUUGUAUGUACCUUAUGAAUAAGGAUCGGCUAACUCCGUGCCAGCAGCCGCGGUAAUACGGAGGAUCCGAGCGUUAUCCGGAUUUAUUGGGUUUAAAGGGAGCGUAGGUGGGUUGUUAAGUCAGUUGUGAAAGUUUGUGGCUCAACCGUAAAAUUGCAGUUGAUACUGGCAGACUUGAGUAUAGUUGAGGUAGGCGGAAUUCGUGGUGUAGCGGUGAAAUGCUUAGAUAUCACGAAGAACUCCGAUUGCGAAGGCAGCUUACUAAGCUAUAACUGACACUGAUGCACGAAAGUGUGGGUAUCAAACAGGAUUAGAUACCCUUGUAGUC